CCGCGGUAAUACGGGAGUGCAAAGCGUUAUCCGGGAAUUAUUGGGCGUAACGCGUCCGCAGGCGGCUUGUAAGUCUGUCGUUAAAGCGUGGAGCUUAACUCCAUUUGAGCGAUGGAAACUACAAGGCUUGAGUGUGGUAGGGGCAGAGGGAAUUCCCGGUGUAGCGGUGAAAUGCGUAGAUAUCGGGAAGAACACCAGUGGCGAAGGCGCUCUGCUGGGCCAUAACUGACGCUCAUGGACGAAAGCCAGGGGAGCGAAAGGGAUUAGAUACCCCUGUAGUCCUGGCCGUAAACGAUGAACACUAGGUGUCGGGGGAAUCGACCCCCUCGGUGUCGUAGCUAACGCGUUAAGUGUUCCGCCUGGGGAGUACGCACGCAAGUGUGAAACUCAAAGGAAUUGACGGGGGGCCGCACAAGCGGUGGGAGUAUUGGUUAAUUCCGAUGCAACGCG
rnacentral:rRNA from 1 species